UAGUUUUUUGUCCUGGCUCAGGAUGAACGCUGGCGGCGUGCCUAAUACAUGCAAGUCGAACGAACUUCCGUUAAUUGAUUAUGACGUGCUUGCACUGAAUGAGAUUUUAACACGAAGUGAGUGGCGGACGGGUGAGUAACACGUGGGUAACCUGCCCAGAAGCAGGGGAUAACACCUGGAAACAGAUGCUAAUACCGUAUAACAGAGAAAACCGCCUGGUUUUCUUUUAAAAGAUGGCUCUGCUAUCACUUCUGGAUGGACCCGCGGCGCAUUAGCUAGUUGGUGAGGUAACGGCUCACCAAGGCGAUGAUGCGUAGCCGACCUGAGAGGGUAAUCGGCCACAUUGGGACUGAGACACGGCCCAGACUCCUACGGGAGGCAGCAGUAGGGAAUCUUCCACAAUGGACGCAAGUCUGAUGGAGCAACGCCGCGUGAGUGAAGAAGGGUUUCGGCUCGUAAAGCUCUGUUGUUAAAGAAGAACGUGGGUGAGAGUAACUGUUCACCCAGUGACGGUAUUUAACCAGAAAGCCACGGCUAACUACGUGCCAGCAGCCGGGGUAAAUA
rnacentral:rRNA from 1 species